GAUGAACGCUAGCGGCAGGCUUAACACAUGCAAGUCGAGGGGUAGGAGAAGCUUGCUUUUCUGAGACCGGCGCACGGGUGCGUAACGCGUAUGCAAUCUACCUUUCACAAAGGGAUAGCCCAGAGAAAUUUGGAUUAAUACCUCAUAGUAUUAUAGAAUGGCAUCAUUUUAUAAUUAAAGAUUUAUCGGUGAAAGAUGAGCAUGCGUCCCAUUAGCUAGUUGGUAUGGUAACGGCAUACCAAGGCUACGAUGGGUAGGGGUCCUGAGAGGGAGAUCCCCCACACUGGUACUGAGACACGGACCAGACUCCUACGGGAGGCAGCAGUGAGGAAUAUUGGACAAUGGGCGCAAGCCUGAUCCAGCCAUGCCGCGUGCAGGAUGACGGUCCUAUGGAUUGUAAACUGCUUUUAUACAGGAAGAAACACCUCUACGUGUAGAGACUUGACGGUACUGUAAGAAUAAGGAUCGGCUAACUCCGUGCCAGCAGCCGCGGUAAUACGGAGGAUCCAAGCGUUAUCCGGAAUCAUUGGGUUUAAAGGGUCCGUAGGCGGUCAGAUAAGUCAGUGGUGAAAGCCCAUCGCUCAACGGUGGAACGGCCAUUGAUACUGUCUGACUUGAAUUAUUAGGAAGUAACUAGAAUAUGUAGUGUAGCGGUGAAAUGCUUAGAGAUUACAUGGAAUACCAAUUGCGAAGGCAGGUUACUACUAAUUGAUUGACGCUGAUGGACGAAAGCGUGGGUAGCGAACAGGAUUAGAUACCCUGGUAGUCCACGCCGUAAACGAUGGAUACUAGCUGUUGGGAGCAAUCUCAGUGGCUAAGCGAAAGUGAUAAGUAUCCCACCUGGGGAGUACGAACGCAAGUUUGAAACUCAAAGGAAUUGACGGGGGCCCGCACAAGCGGUGGAGCAUGUGGUUUAAUUCGAUGAUACGCGAGGAACCCUACCAAGGCUUAAAUGUAGUUUGACCGGUUGGAAACAG
rnacentral:rRNA from 1 species